CAACAACACACGGGGGGUGUGGUUGGGCAUGCAAGACAUCCUAAACCACAGAGGCUGCACUGUGAAAACAGGAAACUUAAGUGCGCCACUGCUGAAGGAGAUAAACACUGGAAGUAGAAGUACUGAGCAUCUCCAUCAUAGUCAGCAUUGGCAGUGAAAACAGCUCAGUUGAUCAUCAUGUGAAUGCAGAGAAGCAGGAAAGGAGGAGGGCUGAAACUGCACGUCAGAGGUGAUUUCACAAUUGUACUGAUGCUGUUGUGUGUAUAAAGAACGAUCAGCAGCUUUCAGCCAGCCAAACGCUGUCUAUACACACGAGGAAGAGAUGGAGACUAUGAAGACUCUGCUGAAGGUUUAUCUGCUGCUGCUGAUCGGACCUCCCUUCACUCUGGAACAAUCAGUGGGCCAGUACAUCACCGAGCUCCAGGUGUCUCUGGAUGAAGCUGAAGAGACGUAUCUUAGCAGUCAAGGUUUCAUCAAAAUCGAUGUUGAUCUGAACAAAGGAGCUGAAGGAAAAUACAUCUACCUUUGGUACAAAAAAGGCAGCAGCUCACCAAUCACCAGGAUUCAGCUUACAUUCAAUGAUGGCAUGAGCAGGGGUCUGAUCACUGCAGGUUACCAGAAGAUUAACAAGAACCUCAAUGCCGGAACAAGCGGAGACUACAUCUACCUGUGGUACUACAGAGGUAACUCAGAGUACGAUGUUCCCAUUGUGAACCUUCAUGUCUCUAUAGGAGCAAGAGAGGAAGCCCAGAUGUUUGCAUUUGGAUAUGAGAGACUGGCCUGUGAUCUGAACCGGAAAGCUAGAGGAAAAUGGAUCUACCUGUGGGUGAAGAGGGAGAGACCAACCUACAUCUGUGACAUCACUGCCAAUGCUGACUAUGAUGGAGAUGCUGACUACUUCCAGAACGGCUACAUCAGAGUGGAUGAAGAUACCAACAGAGGUGCAGGAGGAUCCUUUGUCUUCAUCUGGUACCGUCAGACCACUAACUCUCAAAGAGCCAUCACAGAUCUGAAGAUCUCCACUGAUGAUAUAGACGAGAUGUUGUUUCCGUAUAUGGGCUUUACAAGGGUAACUACUGAUCUAAGCAAGGGGGCAGGAGGAAGUUACGUGUACCUGUGGUACAAGAAAGACUCCGGUCUUCCCAUUCGGGCGGUCUCUAUGAUCGUCAACACAGCAGCUGUGGAGCAGUACAGAUAUCCCAGGGUCUUCAUUAGACAAAGAAACCUCAACAGUGGGAACAAAGGUAAUACGCUGUACCUGACCUUCAGUUCGUUUUAGUAACAGAGCUGGGAAUGCUCACUGGGCAGAAACCAAAGAGUCUAUGGUGUUCCUGUUUAACCAGUUUGAUUGUUUUUCUUUCCUUUCUGAAAUGAUGUUCACCCACUGUGAUCUCAGAUCUUUGACUCCAACAAUGAUCAUUGAUCCUACAAUCAAUCUGUUUGAUUAGCUCUGUCUCACUGCAUUCUGAUGAUUGUCUCUGUUUCAAUAAAGUCUGUUCAGCAUAUGAAAUAUCUUUGUAUCAUGUGUAAAAGCUCGGUGCGUGUCAAGAGAAUCUGAAGAAGUGAGAGAAGAGAGCAGCUCAGCAGGAUCACUACAUGACUUCAUUUAGCAG
ensembl:lncRNA